GAUGAACGCUAGCGGCAGGCUUAACACGUGCAAGUCGAGGGGUAGAAGUCUUCGGACUUUGAGACCGGCGCACGGGUGCGUAACGCGUAUGCAAUCUACCUUUUACAGAGGGAUAGCCCAGAGAAAUUUGGAUUAAUACCUCAUAGUAUAAUGACCUGGCAUCAGGAUGUUAUUAAAGUCACAACGGUAAAAGAUGAGCA
rnacentral:rRNA from 1 species